GUAAGACCACAAUCAUUACAUGUGGCUCCUUUUCACACAGCAGGAACGGAAUAUAUGCUUGUUUACAGCAACGGUACCAGAAAGUCAUCACGUUGGCACUCUUGUCGGCAGCUUAAAAUCAAAAGAAAGUUUAGCAUGAAUUACCUGAAUCCUCUUUUAAAGCUACACAAUGUCCUGAGAGGAUUCUUUAUGAGAAAAAUGUCCAUCACAGCUUUAAGACCUUGCUUUGGAAGGAACUAAUGAGAAAGCAGAUGGAAAGCUUUCAGGUAAAGUCCAGCACUUCAUUUAUACAAAGUCUAUGAGAAUACGUCAGUAGAGAUCAUCUAAUCUUAAGUCGUGACAUCAUCCAUUCAAGUCCUUGGCAUAAUCUAUAAAGAAAAUAAAAUAUCUUGAUUAACUAAGAUAUUUUAGUUAUGAACUAAAAAGCUAUGAACAGCAAACUAAAAGAAGAUAUCAUUUUUCAUCUACCUAAACAACAAAGAUUAAAAAAUCAGUAAUAUUCAAUGUUGGUGCUAUUGUGGUGAAGCCAUACUUUCACAGAGUGCAUCUAUAUUUUUGGUUCUGUUAUGUCUCUAGUGCCUAGAAUACUGCCUGACACAUACAAGGAGCUCAAUAAUUACACAGUGAAUGCCCACAGAAAGUAAUUUAGCAAGAAGUAUCAAAAAUGUUUAAAAUAUCAAUACUCUACCCCUUUUUCUACUUUCAGAAAUGUAUCCUAAAAAAUAAUCAGAGAUAAA